AGCAGUCGCCGCGGGAAUACGUAGGUGGCAAGCGUUGUCCGGAAUUAUUGGGCGUAAAGCGCGCGCAGGCGGAUCAGUCAGUCUGUCUUAAAAGUUCGGGGCUUAACCCCGUGAUGGGAUGGAAACUGCUGAUCUAGAGUAUCGGAGAGGAAAGUGGAAUUCCUAGCGUAGCGGUGAAAUGCGUAGAUAUUAGGAAGAACACCAGUGGCGAAGGCGACUUUCUGGACGAAAACUGACGCUGAGGAGCGAAAGCGUGGGGAGCGAACAGGAUUAGAUACCCCCGUAGUCCCUGUCUCUUAUACA
rnacentral:rRNA from 1 species